UAGGGAAUCUUCCACAAUGGGCGCAAGCCUGAUGGAGCAACACCGCGUGAGUGAAGAAGGGUCUCGGCUCGUAAAGCUCUGUUGUUAAAGAAGAACACGUAUGAGAGUAACUGUUCAUACGUUGACGGUAUUUAACCAGAAAGUCACGGCUAACUACGUGCCAA
rnacentral:rRNA from 1 species